GCAGUAGUGGCCGAGUGGUUAAGAGGCGAUGGACUAGAAAUCUAUUGGGGUCUCCCCGCACAGGUUCGAAUCCUGUCGACUGCG
rnacentral:tRNA from 1 species